AAGAAGAAAUCGUGCUUUAAGUACGGAAAAGUAAAAAAUAAGGAAGAUGCGGCAAUAAUGCCAUAUAGGAAAAUCAAUCAGAAAACGAACCAAAGUAAAGAAUAAAAAAGGUACGAUAAUAAUGCCAACAAAGAGAAUCCUAUAUUGAAUCGAUAAAGUGAAGUUCAACUCUCCGCUCAUCGCCUCGUAUAGAUGAAGAUUCGGUGUAUGCCAAAACGUACGCCUGCUUCAGCGGGAUGCGAUACUUCCACAGACCAGUAAUAUCAACACACCUCUCAACGCACCGCAUAACCCACUGUCAAGCAGCAUACCGCCAUAUAUUUAUUUAUUUACCUUAUCUUGCCUAUAUUAUACACGUUUAUAUUAUAUUAUAUUAAUAAGGGGGCUUUAUUUAUUGUUGUAAAUAUUAUUAUAGUUUUAAGUUAUGUUUAUAAUGAUGUAGGCCUACAGGCCAUUCAAAACAAUUGGCAACGCGUUUAUCACGGUACCUCAAGGCUUGUAUGGAAAACCGUGAUAAGCGACCUUAAGCAAAAUUCGUAUACUACCCGAAAUGUUUAACAAUUAAUUACGUUUAAUAUGUUUAAUAACGUUUCAUGUCUCCUCUUCUUUUUAACAUCUCUUCUGGGAUAAUAAUUCAAGAAGCUAUUCAAACGAUCGAAGCAAGCGUAAAUGAUAGAAGUAACAACUUUAGAUUAACCCUAAACAUCAUUAAUAACCAAAAUGUAGAAGGGUUUUCCAAGCUCAUAUAACUUAACUCCAUAUUACACGAAUUUAAUCUCUCCUAUUAUUUGUCUGUUUUAUCUUAUCACACGUUUUCUUUCCUUCAUCUGCAUGGUGGGGUUUUGCAACUGGUAUCCAAGGUUUAUUGGUCACUCAUCUCUCAAGAGUGCGACGUAUUUGGCAUUACUAAAAAUGUACUCGUUUCGGUUUGAUGACCAAUUUGUGCUUGAUAUUUUGCAGCUGGUUGCACUUGGAUAGUCGACCCAUUGGUUAGAGUAACCUCUACUUCGGUGGAUAGUCUCUCGAGUGGUGAUUUAAAUGAUUUGCUGAAUUGUUGGCUGAUAAAAGAGCUAAUGGCGCCAGUGUCGAUUGUUGCAGUCAUUAUUUUCCUUCCUAUAACGGAAGUAAUUGUGAAUUUAUAACCUUUAAGAAUUAGUGCUGGGCAUUAAACGGAAGGAUUGGAUUGUCGGGAUUCGUUGCCCCUCUGUCCAAUCGAAUUCCGUGGGAGCUUUCCGGCUAUGGAUUACAAUUCUGUUCUCUUGCAGUUCGUCUUCUACCAUAAUUUGAGAUGUCUCGGCAUUUAACGUACCACAUGUAGCCAAGAAGCACGUUCCAGAAAAUCUAUUCUAACUUUUUUUUCUCAUCCAUUCUAGUGUGGCGCAUUAGAUGCUACGAAGCUACGACGUUAUUUUUAAAAGUCUCGUGGACCCGUUGGAUUGGGAUCCGAAUUUCAUCUUCUCAUCUUUGUAGACAACGUAGCGGAAGGAAGACUUUAGAAAUCAGCUUGAAAGAUGUAAUACGACGUCCAUUGCUUCCGGUUCUUCCGAAACCACGUCAGCGCUGUGUCUUGUAAUACUUCGGGUAUUGUGCUCGGUAAUUCUCCAGGAUUAAUUUCAUAAGACUCCGUUAAUCCUUCGAUUCCUUCACUG